UACGUAGGGGGCUAGCGUUGUCCGGAAUCAUUGGGCGUAAAGCGCGUGUAGGCGGUCCGGUACGUCCGCUGUGAAAGUCGGGGGCUCAACCCUCGGAUGCCGGUGGAUACUGUCGGGCUUGAGUACGGAAGAGGCGAGUGGAAUUCCUGGUGUAGCGGUGAAAUGCGCAGAUAUCAGGAGGAACACCAAUUGCGAAGGCAGCUCGCUGGGACGUUACUGACACUAAGGCGCGAAAGCGUGGGGAGCGAACAGG
rnacentral:rRNA from 1 species